rnacentral:ncRNA from 1 species
GUCCUAUAUAGAUGUAUCAACGCAAGACAGUUGAGCAUCUCCCUUUAGGAUGUUGUUUACCCAGAAGCUUCAGCAACAAUCUUUGUUGUGUGGCUCAAGUCGAAAUAGAGUGAGUUGAAGUGGAAUAGGUUAACCGUAAGACCUUGAGUUGAAAAACUCUAAAAUUGACCUAGAGAUACAAUUUUGUAUUUCCUAGUUACGGUAAU